rnacentral:lncRNA from 1 species
UUAUUUGAUGUACCUUUUGAAAUAGAAAACCAACAACUAAAUCUUCUCUAACACCAUGAUUUUCUAAUCUGUAUUAAAGCGUUCCAGGGUAGAAGUAAGACAUAUCAAGAUUUAAAACAUAAAUAGCUUGGAACACCCUGAAGAGCAACAUGGGAGAAACUGAGAAAAGAAUUGAAACCCAUAGAAUAAGAUGUCUUUCCAAGUUGAAGAUGUUUCUGUUGGCAAUAACAUGUGCAUUUGUAUCCAAAACACUGUCUGGAUCUUAUAUGAAUUCCAUGCUCACACAAAUAGAGAGACAAUUCAACAUCCCAACAUCUCUAGUUGGAUUCAUUAAUGGAAGCUUUGAGAUUGGAAAUCUUUUGUUGAUUAUAUUUGUGAGUUAUUUUGGAACCAAACUGCAUAGACCUAUAAUGAUUGGCAUUGGAUGUGUGGUUAUGGGCUUAGGCUG